rnacentral:lncRNA from 1 species
CUUCUUCCUCCAGGGCCACCACAGAAACAACCUUCCUUGCAUAACAAGAAAGAAAGUUCCUUGGAUGACAAGAAAACCGAAGUACUAAAACCUGAUUUCUUCUUUCCUCCAAACCCGGUCACGCCUCUCCUCCCUCCCACCCCGCUUAACCCGCCUCUCCUCCCUCCCAACCCGCUAAACCCGCCGGGUAUCAUCCCUCCAAACCCUCUCAUUCCGUCUCCACCAACUCUUCCUCUCCCACCUCUACCGUUUCAACCGCCUCCUACCGGGUUAAUCCCUCCUAUUCCGUCAAUUCCUACUCUUCCACCUGUUCCGGUCAUAACUCCCCCUUCACCGCCGCCACCUACUUUCCCUAUUCCCCUCCC